NCCUGAGUUAGUCCUAGUGGGAAAGUCGGUGAUGUUGAGGCCGAACCCACUGGGAACUUUGUUGUAGUUCUCACCCCACUAUUUCCACAGAGCCGGGACCGAGCGAGCCGGCGAGUGACCGAGGUAAAGGUAUCGCGCCUUAGACAGAGGCCACCAGAGUUGAGUUGGGUUUACAUUUUGAUAGUGGCUACCCUAUGUUCAUCUUUUGUAUAUGAUGAUUAGUAAUGUAAAGAAAAGAAUGUAAUGUGUAUUUUGAGGUAACUGUGAUGUAAGAAAGAAAUGAUGCAACGUGUAAUGAAGUACAAAGAAUCAUGAAUGUAAAUGAAUGUUUAGUUUUCCUUUCUUUCACUAAUGGCUAUUGCUUACCCUCGUGUAAGCCGUUUGUGCAUGCUUCCGCUAGUGCAUUUCUUGUUUGAAUUUGUACAUGUGAUGAGCCUUGGGCGGAUAGGGGAAACUCUGUCCGUUCGGCGUCUGUUUGACGUGCUCGGGUCG
rnacentral:lncRNA from 1 species